rnacentral:rRNA from 1 species
AGUGAACGCUGGCGGUAGGCCUAACACAUGCAAGUCGAACGGCAGCACAGUAAGAGCUUGCUCUUACGGGUGGCGAGUGGCGGACGGGUGAGGAAUACAUCGGAAUCUACUUUUUCGUGGGGGAUAACGUAGGGAAACUUACGCUAAUACCGCAUACGACCUACGGGUGAAAGCAGGGGAUCUUCGGACCUUGCGCGAUUGAAUGAGCCGAUGUCGGAUUAGCUAGUUGGCGGGGUAAAGGCCCACCAAGGCGACGAUCCGUAGCUGGUCUGAGAGGAUGAUCAGACACAAUGGAACUGAGACACGGUCCAGACUCCUACGGGAGGCAACAGAGGGGAAUAUUGGACAAUGGGCGGAAGCCUGAUCCAGCCAUACCGCGUGGGUGAAGAAGGCCUUCGGGUUGUAAAGCCCUUUUGUUGGGAAAGAAAAGCAGCAGGUUAAUACGCCGCUGUUCUGGCGGUACCCAAAGAAUAAGCACCGGCUAACUUCGUG